rnacentral:rRNA from 1 species
AGAGUUUGAUCAUGGCUCAGACUGUAAAGAGUGGCGGAAUGCUUUACACAUGCAAGUCGAACGGUACCCUUGGCCGCAAGGUGCUGACGAGUGGCGAACGGGUGAGUAAUGCAUCGGAACGUGCCCAGUCGUGGGGGAUAACGCAGCGAAAGCUGCGCUAAUACCGCAUACGAUCUAUGGAUGAAAGCGGGGGACCGUAAGGCCUCGCGCGAUUGGAGCGGCCGAUGUCAGAUUAGGUAGUUGGUGGGGUAAAGGCUCACCAAGCCAACGAUCUGUAGCUGGUCUGAGAGGACGACCAGCCACACUGGGACUGAGACACGGCCCAGACUCCUACGGGAGGCAGCAGUGGGGAAUUUUGGACAAUGGGCGCAAGCCUGAUCCAGCAAUGCCGCGUGCAGGAAGAAGGCCUUCGGGUUGUAAACUGCUUUUGUACGGAACGAAACGGCUCUGGUUAAUACCUGGGGCUAAUGACGGUACCGUAAGAAUAAGCACCGGCUAACUACGUGCCAGCAGCCGCGGUAAUACGUAGGGUGCAAGCGUUAAUCGGAAUUACUGGGCGUAAAGCGUGCGCAGGCGGUUUUGUAAGACAGGCGUGAAAUCCCCGGGCUCAACCUGGGAAUGGCGCUUGUGACUGCAAAGCUGGAGUGCGGCAGAGGGGGAUGGAAUUCCGCGUGUAGCAGUGAAAUGCGUAGAUAUGUGG